CACAAGUUCAAAUGUGUAUGGAGAUUUUCUGACAUAUUCACAAAACCUGCUUUGAGAGCUUAUGGAACGGUUACUACACUUACUGCUAUGGAGAACUGCUAUGGAAGAACAAACUUUUAUUUUCUACCUGCCCACAGAGAGAUUAAAAUGGCCCAUGUGCAGAUCACUACUGCAAAACAUGCUGACACUCUGGAAACAAAACAAAUCUGUCCCCAGGGCAGUGCUGAGUGGUGAUGAAGAGCUCCAUUCCCCUAUUGGCUGUCUCUGUGGUGUCCAGGGACUCAGGGAAGCAGCUGGCUAGGUAGCGGCUCAGA